rnacentral:rRNA from 1 species
GACGAACGCUGGCGGCGUGCCUAAUACAUGCAAGUAGAACGCACAGUUUAUGCCGUAGCUUGCUACACCAUAGACUGUGAGUUGCGAACGGGUGAGUAACGCGUAGGUAACCUGCCUGGUAGCGGGGGAUAACUAUUGGAAACGAUAGCUAAUACCGCAUAAUAUUAAUUAUUGCAUGAUAAUUAAUUGAAAGGUGCAAUUGCACCACUACCAGAUGGACCUGCGUUGUAUUAGCUAGUAGGUGAGGUAACGGCUCACCUAGGCGACGAUACAUAGCCGACCUGAGAGGGUGAUCGGCCACACUGGGACUGAGACACGGCCCAGACUCCUACGGGAGGCAGCAGUAGGGAAUCUUCGGCAAUGGACGAAAGUCUGACCGAGCAACGCCGCGUGAGUGAAGAAGGUUUUCGGAUCGUAAAGCUCUGUUGUAAGAGAAGAACGGGUGUGAGAGUGGAAAGUUCACACUGUGACGGUAGCUUACCAGAAAGGGACGGCUAACUACGUG